GAUGAAGAACGCAGCGAAAUGCGAUAAGUAAUGCGAAUUGCAGAAUUCAGUGAGUCAUCGAAUCUUUGAACGCACAUUGCGCCCUGUGGUAUUCCGCAGGGCAUGCCUGUUCGAGCGUCAUUUCAACCCUCAAGCUCUGCUUGGUGUUGGGCCCUGCCCGCUGCGGCCGGCCCUAAAGACAGUGGCGGUGCCGCCUGGCCCUGAGCGUAGUACAUCUCUCGCUCCAGUGCCCGGUGGUAGCCUGCCAGAACCCCAACUCUCGUGGUUGACCUCGGAUCAGGUAGGGAUACCCGCUGAACUCAAGCAUAUCAAUAAGCGGAGGA
rnacentral:misc_RNA from 1 species